CGGCGGACGGGUGAGUAACACGUGGAUAACCUACCUAUAAGACUGGGAUAACUUCGGGAAACCGGAGCUAAUACCGGAUAAUAUAUUGAACCGCAUGGUUCAAUAGUGAAAGACGGUUUUGCUGUCACUUAUAGAUGGAUCCGCGUCGCAUUAGCUAGUUGGUAAGGUAACGGCUUACCAAGGCAACGAUGCGUAGCCGACCUGAGAGGGUGAUCGGCCACACUUGAACUGAGACACGGUCCAG
rnacentral:rRNA from 1 species